CCGCCGCCGUCCGCAGUCCGCAAUCCACUCCCUCCUCCGACGAAACCCUAGGUCAUGGCUUGGCGCGGCGCCGCUUCCCGCUCCCUCUUCGCCGCCGUCCGUGCCCGCGCCGCAUCCUCGUCCUCCUCUGCCGCCUCGCGCCUCCGCUCGGCGGCUCCACUCCCCGCCUCCCCGCGCCGCUCCGUCCCCGCCUUCUCCUUCGCGACCGCGAGGCCGCUGGCGGCGAUGGCGGGGUCCCCGGCGGCGGUCGUGGUGAGGCUCACCGGGCACUCGGCGACGAGCGUGCGGGCGUGCUGUGAGCUCUCCCAGGGCCAAAAUGGGAAAGACGGUUGAUGAAGAGAUCAGACAGAAUGAUUCGUAUCCUAUUGCAUAAGAUGAUGAAACGGCGAUGAUGCAUGAUGCUUGGGAAGCAGUUUUAAACCAUGGAAAAGGGACUUAAUGCAAGGGUAGGAUUCUUUGGAGGUUGCAUCUUUUGGAAACUCGUAGGGCUUGCGUCCUUUAUCCUGCUUUUUGCAGAGUUCUUAGUGCCUAGUAUGUCGGCAAACAGACAAGUAUACAUUGCUGCAACUUAUAUAAAUAAUAAUCAUAUGUUAGCCUGCUACUCACUGUUUCGCAUCGAUUGGAACUAAAGGUUUCAUUUUUACCUUGUUCCCAUGAUGCCUCGACAUGUUAUGAGAUUCCACUGCGUGCUCGUGCUUGUUACCA